rnacentral:rRNA from 1 species
UACGUAGGGACCAAGCGUUGUUCGGAUUUACUGGGCGUAAAGGGCUCGUAGGCGGCCAACUAAGUCAGACGUGAAAUCCCUCGGCUUAACCGGGGAACUGCGUCUGAUACUGGAUGGCUUGAGUUUGGGAGAGGGAUGCGGAAUUCCAGGUGUAGCGGUGAAAUGCGUAGAUAUCUGGAGGAACACCGGUGGCGAAGGCGGCAUCCUGGACCAACACUGACGCUGAGUGAGCGAAAGCCAGGGGAGCAAACGGG